GGUGAGGUGGGUCGCGGGUGUCGACGCAGUCCUACCCGCUGCUGACUGCGGGCCGGGCCCCGCCCAGGGGCGGGGCGUGGAUCCCGGGGACCCUGACUUCCUCCAAGGUGAGGAAGAGAGAAGGCAAAGACGGAGCCCAGUGGUCACCUGGACCCCCUACUGUCACUAGGAAACAGGUGAACAGGCCAGGAGAGCAGGUGUGCAGGGGUCAGCUGUUGAGAGUUUGAUGCAGAAGGAUGGAGAGACCUGGGGACACUCAGGGAUGGUGACAUUGGAGAUAGGCUCCGUUAGCCCUCCUCCAGGAUGAAGCAUGUGCCAGAAGACCUGGAGAACGCCGCUGGGCCGAGCUUUUGAGAAUCUGGGUGUCGUCCAUUCCGUCAGCCCACACACCUCAGGGCAGGAGCACAUGCUAGGACGGAAGGCGAAGAGCACGUCGACAUCUGCAAGACGUGCUGCUCCUCCAGAGCCUUUGCCCUUGAACUUGCAGCAUCGCUGUUGGACGUUAGACGUGAGUUAGACGUGAGUUAGACGUGAGUUAGACGUGCGUGGAGGCAUCGUGAACAUGUCGGAGGAAAGGUGGGCGGCAUCCCGUCCCCUCCCUUCCUGUUGCAAUAGACUCGUUUGGCAGUUUUCUGUCAGAUGUUAAUUCUUGCAAAUGCCCUGUGCCACCCACCGCUGGUGACAAUGGUGACCACUGCCAUGGUAGUAGCAGAGGUGACCCUCUCGAAGCUCUUCUCCCAGCGGGGUGGUGGUUGGCCAGGUGCUGCCAUCUUAUCAGCCAUCCUUCCCCGGGCUGAGACCUGCCUGUGGAUCUCCGAGAGUUACCUCAGGAAGCAGCAGAAGAAAUCAGACUCCCGAUAGGUCAGGACGCUUGAGAGAGUGGCACUUGGACAGCCUGGUGGCCUUCCUCGUGGCCACUUGGAUUCUCCUCCUGCAUCUGAGGUGGGACAGUGAAAAACUGCCACUAGAACUCCAGGCACUGAGGGUCACUGGAGGAAGACAGUGGCUGGAGGUAAGGUCUCCCCAUUGGAAGGUGAAUGGUGACAUCCACGGGUGAUUUGUUGAACAGCUAAUAAGAAUGGAUUCAGUGUACAACCCUCCAACGUGGUGUCACGUGCACAUGCGUGUGGCAGCCUGCGGGGCUGCCGAGGUAACGCCAUGGUCCCUCUGCAGUCAGUGAGACUGAAUCUGGUCUUUAACGAGUCGUGGCACAAAAAAUCUUCUGCAAUAGCCCUAACCAAAGACUUCUUAAUAUAUUGAAAUGCCCCUUUUUAUUAAGCAAAAUGCCUUUUUAUUUUGAUGCACAGAAUGGAAUUUUUUGCUUUAUGUCUCGGAUUUAUAUUAUUUUUUUAACUCGACAUUUACUCCCUUUGUGUAUUUUAAGUCACGCACAUGUACUCUUUGUACAGUUGUAAAAUUUUAAUAGAAAUCAACGUAUUUUUUUAACUGCAUUACAUCAGCAUUUAUAGACGUUGUUAUGCACAACCUACCUUGGAGUCCCAUGUGCACACUGGCCGGCGCCCGGCGUCUGCUCUGUCCCCUGGCAGCGCCCAUGGCCCUGUCUGCUUGUUGCUCCAAGCCAGGUACCUUGCUUUACAAUUUCAGCCCAUAUCAUGAUGCCCAUCAAUGUUUGUUGCACCCCAAACACAAAACACUGUGCAGACUCAUUUCUCCUGCUUCCAUGGCUCAAACAGGAAAGUAUUAAAACGCAGCAAGAUCUUAUGGUCUCAAACUGGACCCAAAUCAAAUAAGCAGAAACCAGAAUUCUUCCAAGUAAAGAUAAGUGGUUGCAGCCUCCCUGAGGCAGGAAAGGCCUGAUGAACGAACUCCCAGGUAUCAGAACAAGACAUUGCAUGUGGCUAGCAUUGCUGCUUCCCUUUGUGGUCCAUAAACGGCUUUCAGACUAUUCUGGAAUGGGACUAGGGCUGAGUUAGGUGUGAGAUUCCCAUGCAGAAACCACUGGCCCGGGGAGUCCCACAGGCUUAAGAUUCUUGUGCUCUCUCAGGUGAAGUUUCCUGAGCA